rnacentral:lncRNA from 1 species
CAGCAACUCCAGAAUUCUUAGAACUGAAGAGACAACUCUGCCUCUCCCCUUUGGUUACCAAAGACUGGGUGCCUGGAAGAGCCUUCAUCCAGGAGCUCAUGGAAGUAGAAGCAGAUACCGACAGCUAAACACUGAACUGAACUGGAAUCUAGUUGCAGAGAAGGAGGAGUGAUGAGCAAAGUAGUCAAGACCAGGCUGGUGAAACACACAGAAACAGCUGACCUGAACAAGGGGGAGCUCAUGGUCCCCAGACUGAUAGCUGGGAAGCCAGCAUGGAACUGAUCCAGACCCCAUGAAUGUGGGUGUCAGUGAGGAGGCUUCAGAAAUCUAUGGGACCUCUUGUAGCAGAUCAGAACUUAUCCCUAGUUGUAGGAAUGGACUUUGGGAGCCCAUUUCACAUAGAGGAAUAGUCCCUCAAGUUAGACACAAUGGCCUAGGCCCUAUCCCAAAGGAUAUGACAGACUCUGAAGACCCCCCCUCAUGGAAGGCCUCACCCUCACUGGGGAGCAGUAUGGGAAUGGGAAAGGUAGGGUUUAGUGGGGUGGUAGGGAGGUGGGGAGGGAGAGAAAACUGGGUUUGACAUGUAAAAUAAUCUUG